UUAGUUUUUGAAGUAUGGCCUGCCCGCUGACUUUGAUGUUGAAGGGCCGCGGUAUUUUGACCGUGCAAAGGUAGCAUAGUCAUUAGUUCUUUAAUUGUGAUCUGGUAUGAAUGGCUUGACGAGGCAUGGGCUGUCUUAAUUUUGAAUUGUUUAUUGAAUUUGGUUUUUGAGUUAAAAUUCUUAGAUGUUUUUAUGGGACGAGAAGACCCUAUAGAGUUUAACAUUUAUUACGGUUCUUUUCUGUUUGUGAGGGUUCGCUGGGCCGUUUAGUAUGUUUCGUUGGGGUGAUGGGAGGGAUUUAUUUAACCCCUCCUUUAUGUUGUUAUAUUUAUUUAUAUUUAUUUGAUCCAUUUAUUUUGAUUGUAAGAUUAAGUUACCUUAGGGAUAACAGCGUUAUCCCCCUUGAGAGUUCUUAUCGGCAGGGGGGUUUGCGACCUCGAUGUUGGAUUAAGAUUUAUUUUCGGUGUAGGGGCUGGAAGUUAUUAGGUCUGUUCGACCUUUAAA
rnacentral:rRNA from 1 species